GUUGUAAGAAAAUGAUUGCAAUCAUUUACAGAUUUUUAUAGCUGGUUCACCUAUCUUUACUUUAUUUGCUAUCCCUGUUAUUUCUUAAAAUACCUACUGAUGUUGCAGGGUUUUUUGGUGCUAUUGGAUAUCUAUGACUAUGAGGAUUAUUUACGCAAGCCGCAAAAAAAAUAAUAGUAACGUGAAGAGGAACAUUGAGGAAGCAUGUUCCAAUUCCAAUCUUCCAUUGAAUAAGCAACACAUUUUGCCCUCUAACUAUUGGCCAACGACGAGCUGGUAACAUGUAGGGACAAGGAAUGAUCCUAUGUUUUGGAUGUAAGCAAUCAUGAGCGGCGGAAGUUGGCUUGUCUGCACCGUGCUCUGAACUUUAGCAGGUUUUUGAGAUCUUCUUGAAGCCCUCUAUCGAUCGAUCUUACCCUUGAAGGGUUUCGUUUAUGUUUUUUCUUCGAUAUUUGGUUUUCUUGUCAAAAUUUUGACUUUUUGGAGCUGUUCAAUGUGAAAUUGAGAUUGUUGCAA